rnacentral:rRNA from 1 species
CCUACGGGUGGCUGCAGUAAGGAAUAUUGGUCAAUGGACGAAAGUCUGAACCAGCCAUGCCGCGUGGAGGAUGAAGGUCCUCUGGAUUGUAAACUUCUUUUAUAUGGGACGAAAAAAGGCCUUUCUAGGCCGUCUGACGGUACCAUAUGAAUAAGCACCGGCUAACUCCGUGCCAGCAGCCGCGGUAAUACGGAGGGUGCAAGAGUUAUCCGGAUUCACUGGGUCGUAGGUGGGUUGAUAAGUCUGGAGUGAAAUCUCCGAGCCUAACGUUGAAACUGCCAUUGAUACUAUUAAUCUUGAAUAUUGUGGAGGUUAGCGGAAUAUGUCAUGUAGCGGUGAAAUGCUUAGAUAUGACAUAGAACACCAAUUGCGAAGGCAGCUGGCUACACAUAUAUUGACACUGAGGCACGAAAGCGUGGGGAUCAAACAGGAUUAGAUACCCUUGUAGUC